rnacentral:rRNA from 1 species
AACGAACGCUGGCGGCAUGCCUAACACAUGCAAGUCGAACGAGACCUUCGGGUCUAGUUGCGCACGGGUGCGUAACGCGGGGGAACCUGCCCUUAGGUUCGGAAUAACUCCCCGAAAGGGGUGCUAAUACCGGAUAAUGUCUUCGGACCAAAGAUUUAUCGCCUUUGGAUGGGCCCGCGUUGGUUUAGCUAGUUGGUAGGGUAAAAGCCUACCAAGGCUACGAUCCAUAGCUGGUCUGAGAGCAUGAUCCGCAACCCUGGGACUGGGACCCGGCCCGAAUCUUGGAGGAGGGGCGCAAGGGGGAUCAAGGCAAACGGGGCGAGAGACGAAGCCAGCAAGGCCGGGUAGGCGUUGAGGGGCUAAGGAUUAGAAGCAGUUUUAUACCGGGAUGUUAUGACGGUACCCGGGGAAAAAACACCGGCUAACUUCGUG